rnacentral:misc_RNA from 1 species
ACGAGUUAGGGUCUCCUAGGCCCGAUCUCCCAACCCUUUGUUUACCAAACCAUUUUGUUGCUUCGGCGAGCCCGUCUUCACGGACCGCCGGGGGACCUGCUCAAGGACCCCUGGCCCGCGCUCGUCGGUGGCCCAAACCUUUAAAUUCUUAACUAAACGUGUCAUGUCUAAGUACCAAUUUUUUAAUUAAAAGCA